AAAAACAUGAUAAAAGGACUAAAAAUAGAAAAUCCCAGGUAGAAGAAUCCAAAACUCUGAUUUCUGGAGCUUCCAGAAAUGGUUGCAGCAGCUCCUCUUCCUUAGAAUUAAUGGUGUCCUUCUCCUUUUCUCUCUCUGUAAUUUUUCUUUCCUUUUUGUUUUUAUUGUUUCCUCUUGUGGCAAAAACUAGAAAAUAAUGCAUUUAUAUGGUCCUAAAAGUUGCCCUAAAAAUAGACAAGAGCCAAAGAGUGGAUAGGAAA
rnacentral:misc_RNA from 1 species